rnacentral:rRNA from 1 species
UACAGAGGGUGCGAGCGUUAAUCGGAAUUACUGGGCGUAAAGGGUGCGUAGGUGGUUAUGUAAGUUAGGUGUGAAAGUCCUGGGCUUAACCUGGGGAUUGCAUUUAAUACUGCAAAGCUAGAGUACUGUAGAGGAAAGUGGAAUUUCCGGUGUAGCGGUGAAAUGCGUAGAUAUCGGAAGGAACAUCGGUGGCGAAGGCGACUUUCUGGACAGAUACUGACACUGAGGCACGAAAGCGUGGGGAGCAAACAGG